rnacentral:rRNA from 1 species
GUAGGGAAUCUUCCACAAUGGACGAAAGUCUGAUGGAGCAACGCCGCGUGAGUGAAGAAGGUUCUCGGAUCGUAAAACUCUGUUGUGAGGGAAGAACAAGUACCGGAGUAACUGCCGGUACCUUGACGGUACCUCAUUAGAAAGCCACGGCUAACUACGUGCCAGCAGCCGCGGUAAUACGUAGGUGGCAAGCGUUGUCCGGAAUCAUUGGGCGUAAAGCGCGCGCAGGCGGUCCCUUAAGUCUGAUGUGAAAGCCCACGGCUCAACCGUGGAGGGUCAUUGGAAACUGGGGGACUUGAGUGCAGAAGAGGAAAGCGGAAUUCCAAGUGUAGCGGUGAAAUGCGUAGAGAUUUGGAGGAACACCAGUGGCGAAGGCGGCUUUCUGGUCUGUAACUGACGCUGAGGCGCGAAAGCGUGGGGAGCAAACAGGAUUAGAAACCCGUGUAGUCC